rnacentral:sRNA from 1 species
AGAUGAUGACCUUUCGCUCGUCGAGAAGGGCACGCGCGAUCUGCAC